AAUUGCAGGCAGUGUGAAUCGUGAUCAGACUCCUGCUUUAGAAAGCUCCACACAGAGUCUCGCGCCUGCAGCCUGCACCGGACCCGGAGCAGCCAUGCUCAAGUGCCCCACGUGCGACAAGGUGUACUGCGCCGAGAGGGUGACCUCUCUAGGCAAGGACUGGUAUCAGCCCUGCCUGAAGUGCGAGAAAUGUGGGAAGACGCUGACCUCCAGGGGCCAUGCUGAGCAUGAAGGCAAACCCUACUGCAACCAGUCCUGCUACGCCGCCAUGUUUGGGCCUAAAGGCUUUGGGCGGGGUGGACCCGAGAGCCACACUUUCAAGUAAACUGGGUGGUGGAUACUCCAUUCUUGGCUGCUUUCUGGGCCACUGUCCAGGCAAACGCCAGGCCUCGCCCCCACAUGCCCAGGGCUGCCUUGCAGCCCCUAAUGCUCUCAAUAAACCUGAACACUUGGGGGAAUAAAAAAA